GACGAACGCUGGCGGCGUGCUUAACACAUGCAAGUCGAACGGAAAGGCCCUGCUUUUGUGGGGUGCUCGAGUGGCGAACGGGUGAGUAACACGUGAGUAACCUGCCCUUGACUUUGGGAUAACUUCAGGAAACUGGGGCUAAUACCGGAUAGGAGCUCCUGCUGCAUGGUGGGGGUUGGAAAGUUUCGGCGGUUGGGGAUGGACUCGCGGCUUAUCAGCUUGUUGGUGGGGUAGUGGCUUACCAAGGCUUUGACGGGUAGCCGGCCUGAGAGGGUGACCGGCCACAUUGGGACUGAGAUACGGCCCAGACGCCUACGGGAGGCAGCAGUGGGGAAUAUUGCACAAUGGGCGGAAGCCUGAUGCAGCAACGCCGCGUGCGGGAGGACGGCCUUCGGGUGGUAAACCGCUUUCGCCUGUGACGAAGCGUGAGUGACGGUAAUGGGUAAAGAAGCACCGGCUAACUACGU
rnacentral:rRNA from 1 species